CUGCUGCCUCCCGUAGGAGUCUGGGCCGUGUCUCAGUCCCAAUGUGGCCGUCCGCCCUCUCAGGCCGGCUACUGAUCGUCGCCUUGGUGGGCCGUUACCCCGCCAACUGGCUAAUCAGACGCGGAUCCAUCGUAUACCGCCGGAGCUUUUCACACUGUCCCAUGCGGGACCGUGCGCUUAUGCGGUAUAGCACCUGUUUCCAGGUGUUAUCCCCCUGUAUACGGCAGGUUAUCCACGCGUUACUCACCCGUCCGCCA
rnacentral:rRNA from 1 species